rnacentral:rRNA from 1 species
UACGUAGGGCGCGAGCGUUGUCCGGAAUUAUUGGGCGUAAAGCGCGCGCAGGCGGUUUCUUAAGUCUGAUGUGAAAGCCCCCGGCUCAACCGGGGAGGGUCAUUGGAAACUGGGAAACUUGAGUGCAGAAGAGAAGAGCGGAAUUCCACGUGUAGCGGUGAAAUGCGUAGAGAUGUGGAGGAACACCAGUGGCGAAGGCGGCUCUUUGGUCUGUAACUGACGCUGAGGCGCGAAAGCGUGGGGAGCAAACAGG